GGAGUCUGGCUCUCGAGAUUCGGAGGGCGGUGCCUCUUCGAUUUUGGAGCAAGCAAUCUUGUUGGGAGUGUUGUCUCGAAUGUGAGUAAAGGUUGGGCAUGUUUGCUAGUCUACCUUGCCACGAAGCACAAAGGUUGACACAUAGGGACUUUCCAAUUAUCCAGCAAUGGUACUGUUCCUUUACCCUCUCUUCGAUUUUGAGAAAGUAGUCAUGUUGGGAGUCUGGCUCUCGAGAUUCGGAGGACGGUGCCUCUUCGAUUUUGGGGCAAGCAAUCUUAUUGGGAGUGUUUUCUCGAAUGUGAGUAAAGGUUGGGCAUGUUUGCUAGUCUACCUUGCCACGAAGCACAGAGGUUGACACACAGGGACUUUCCAAUUAUCCAGCAGUGGUACUGUUCCUUUACAGUUGUGGGUAAUAAUAUGGUAGCUAGACCUUCAAAAUUUAUGUGUCUAAACUUUUGUUAGUGCUGUUUCUUUGCUAUUCUUUUACCUUUCUUGGUCAGAGCGAUGUAGUGGGAGCUGCAAGCUUCACGUGCUCAACUUUGGCAGAGAACUUUGGCAAAGUUAUUUGUGGUACCCAUGAGCUAUUGUUGCGUGUGGGAAGUGGGUGAUUGAACAGUAAGAUUCAUGUGCUUUCUACUUCACCAGAAGUCUUCGACAGAAUGCCCAUAAUUUCUGCAAAGCUGAGUGUGCGUGUGACAGUUGCUGACAAGGCUAGAAAAGUAGGUGCCUCUUCGAUUUCUGAGAUCGGCCCUCGUGGUCUCUGAGCAGCCCAGCUUUUGAGAAAGCGAGCACCUCUUCGAUUGAUUCGGAGAACGAUGCCUCAUCGAUUUUUGAGCAAGCAAUCAUGCUGGGGGUCUGGCUCUCGAGAUUCGGGGAGCAGUGUCUCUUCGAUUUUUGAGAAAGUAAUCAUGUUGGGAGUCUGGCUCUCGAGAUUCGGAGGGCGGUGCCUCUUCGAUUUUGGAGCAAGCAAUCUUGUUGGGAGUGUUUUCUCGAAUGUGAGUAAAGGUUGGGCAUGUUUGCUAGUCUACCUUGCCACGAAGCACAGAGGUUGACACACAGGGACUUUCCAAUUAUCCAGCAAUGGUACUGUUCCUUUACCCUCUCUUCGAUUUUUAAGAAAGUAGUCAUGUUGGGAGUCUGGCUCUUGAGAUUCGGAGGACGGUGCCUCUUCGAUUUUGGAGCAAGCAAUCUUAUUGGGAGUGUUUUCUCGAAUGUGAGUAAAGGUUGGGCAUGUUUGCUAGUCUACCUUGCCACGAAGCACAGAGGUUGACACACAGGGACUUUCCAAUUAUCCAGCAGUGGUACUGUUCCUUUACCCUUGUGGGUAAUAAUAUGGUAGCUAGACCUUCAAAAUUUUAUGGGUCUAAACUUUGUUAGUGCUGUUUCUUUGCUAUUCUUUUACCCUUCUUGGUCAGAGCGAUGUAGUGGGAGCUGCAAGCUUCACGUGCUCAACUUUG
rnacentral:lncRNA from 1 species